rnacentral:rRNA from 1 species
AUUUAAAGAGGUACGUGAGCUGGGUUUAAAACGUCGUGAGACAGUUUGGUCCCUAUCUGCCGUGGGCGUUGGAUAUUUGAAGGGGGCUGCUCCUAGUACGAGAGGACCGGAGUGGACGAACCUCUGGUGUACCGGUUGUCACGCCAGUGGCAUCGCCGGGUAGCUAUGUUCGGAAGAGAUAACCGCUGAAAGCAUCUAAGCGGGAAACUCGCCUUAAGAUGAGAUAUCCCUGGGGACUAGAUCCCCUUGAAGGGUCGUUCGAGACCAGGACGUUGAUAGGUCAGGUGUGUAAGCGCAGUAAUGCGUUCAGCUAACUGAUACUAAUUGCCCGUAAGGCUUGAUCCUAUAACA